GUUCGUUCUUUUUUGAAACAUCACACUUUAGGAACACAGCUUUUCCAUUGCCAUAUUUUUCAUCGAAACUUUUCUGUGCCUUCUCUCCUUCUGAAGCCGAAACAUCCAAAAAGCAAACCUGUGGACAGUAAUACACAAUUAGUAAAGCCUGCGUGUUUGCUAUGUUACUCCGACUGAGUCUGGCUAUGUGCACACGGGCGUCGUUU